rnacentral:rRNA from 1 species
UUUUAUUUGAGAGUUUGAUCCUGGCUCAGGAUGAACGCUGGCGGCGUGCCUAACACAUGCAAGUUGAGCGAUUUACUUCGGUAAAGAGCGGCGGACGGGUGAGUAACGCGUGGGUAACCUACCCUGUACACCCGGAUAACAUACCGAAAGGUAUGCUAAUACGGGAUAAUAUAUUUGAGAGGCAUCUCUUGAAUAUCA